AUGUACUUUCUUACAACAUAGUGUUAAUGUACUGGAUCCCUUUAGAAAUCCACAGUUAAGCACACUUGGGAUAGAAUAGUAUCAGGAUGGGUGACCGCCCAGGAAGUACUAGUGUUUUACAUG
rnacentral:rRNA from 1 species